CCGGGCCGGGCCGGCCUCCCCCCCUCGAAAAUAUCCCGGAGCGACUCCCGAGGCAGUGCCGCCGCCGAAGUCGCAUGACUGUCAUCCUUCCGAGGAACAGGAAGGCAAUUUCAGGCAGUGGAAGCAGUACGAAGAAAGAGAUGGGACAAGACUGCGCCAGCAUUUGGGCAGAUUGUAGGGAUGAUGGAAAGCGCUGUAGAAUCAGGCAGAGCUGGGUACUGGACUGCUCAGCAUAUGCAGCUGGAAGCCAUGGUGAACAUACUGGGAGGUGACACUGGGCCUGCUCCACUGCUCCUUCCACAGCAGCUGGCCCCCGCUGGACACAGUGCCCUCAACAGAAGUCACAAGGCAGCUGAAGACCUGAAAGAAAGUCUAGUGCACCCAAUGCUUAUGUUAUACUGUCCCAGGGGUCAUGUGAGAUGAACAGCUGAUAAAUGAUGGCAUACCUGGAAUAAGUUCUCUGUUUGCCACUCUAGGGCAAUAUAUAAGAAGAAAAUGUGGGUCUUACUACAGGCACACUUAAACCAUAUGAAGGAGACCUGUAUUUUGAAAUGACAGGUCCUCCUCCAUGACUGGAGCAUGACCUAGUUGCUGACUGAGCUAUCUGUUGUUUAUAGGCAAUGAUUCCUCACAAACAAAUCAACUAAAUGAACAAACAGGGUGAUAAAGUAGAGUCAAGAACUGCAUUGUCCUCCUCAGAGUCAUAAAAACUCAUCCCUUUUACAACUGCUGAGUGCUUUGCCAAUAUCAUGCCAAGGUGAGAGCAGCGGGGGGAAGGGAAAGAUAGUGAGAAGGAAAAUAAAUGGUCCAGGUAAACAGUGCUGCUGCUGCUGCAGCAGCUGUGGUUGUCAUGGUGACUGGGGUGAAGAAGAGGAGGAGGAGAAGGGAGGCAGAUUGAUCGAUAGUCCUGUGCUAGCUCAUCUGGCUUCCAUCCACGUGCUGCUACAGAGGGAGAGAAAAUCAAAGAGCCACACGCAGGGCGGACAGGGCUCCGAUUCGAUACAUGGCAGCAGCUUGAUCAAUAGCUUGUUGGAAGGUGGGUAAUUGACUCCCCUUCCACCCAGGAGAAAGCAGUGCAGCGAUAGAGAUGUGUUCGUUAGCUACUGAUUCUCAGCUCUACUUUAUCACCCAGUUUGUUCAUUUAGUUGAUUUGUUUGUUUGCUUGCUUGAGAUCCCCUCUUCAGUCCGAUUUCUCCCUGUACCUGUCAAAGAUGAGCGCACCAGCUGCUGGAGCAGAGCCAGGACUGCCCUCAAGUUUCUCAGUUGCUUUCCCUCUCCUCUCCUUUCUUUGGUCACAACUGGGUUUUUUAUCUCACACUGGCAGAGGUUUUGAUGCGGGAAGCUGAAAACAAGGACAACCUUUUCUUAUGGGAUUUCUAGAGCUUCCUUUUCUGGCUGGGUCCAGUGGAACUUAAGUAUAGCUCAUCUGAAUGCAAGGAGCACAGUAGCUCCCCCAAAAAUUCAAUAGUUAAGUCUAUUUUUGUACCUCACAAACCAAGUGAAUUACAGGGAGAGAUUUACAACUGUUAUUUUUGUAAAUCUGCUGUUCUCUAGAGGAGUUACCCACAGAGGGUGACCAGGUGAUGCUAUCAGAAAAGACAGAAAAGAAGAGGUAGCAGAGGAAAGGGCAGGAAAUCAGGGCAUGCUGAGAA